rnacentral:sRNA from 1 species
UGUUCUCCCUGCAAGGUGUAUAAGCUACAAGGCCUAACCUUUGCUCACAGGGCACACAUCUACCUCCCCACUGAGCAACUGACAGGAGAUGCUCGAGGUCACAGCAGCAUCUAAUGUGCCUCCAGUGACAAGUAUAUUGACCUCCAACAGAUAAGUGGACUUGGAAAGUAGGUGGACACAACACAGUGGCUACACGGGAGUCAAGCACCUUCCUUCUGGUGGUGUCCACACUUCCAUAGCUCUGGCUUCCAGGUGGCCACCAAGACUGUUACAGAGUGCUCAGCUCAGGUCUCUACUGGAGCUGUGACUGCCAUCAGUGUAGAGUCACCCCUGCCAGUGUCUAGUGUCAUCCUGUGAGUGUCCUAGCACAGACUUUGAUGGCUGGGCCUUAGGCACACCAGGUUGUUGCUAUCUCUCUUAAGGAGUUUCUGAACACGUGGAGAGGUGCUCAGGGACUUGAAGUCUCUCCUCAGACCUUAGGGUUCCAGAACAGUGGGAGUCUUGGUUUUCUACUCAGGUCCAGAUGGGUGUCAGAACUAGACCCAUGGGCAGGACUUCUCUUAUCUGGCACAAAUCAACCUGGACAGUUUAAAUUGUUUUGGAAUUACAGUGUGUGUGUGUGUGUGUGUGUGUGUGUGUGUGUGUGUGUGUGUGUGUGUGUGUGCAUAUAAUGGGAGCAAUUCUAUCAAUUCUCUACUUCAAGGCAGGAAUGUACCUUGGUCAUACAUGCUGGGGGCAAUUCUGUGCUUCCCAGGGCAGGCUAUGGUUGGCCGUCAUUAUGUCUCCAGCCUUGAGGUAGAGUCAAACAUACAGUGGAUGUUUAAAGACUACACUUUAGCUAAAUUAGUGAAAGCCCCUGGCAUCUCUUGGCAUUUGGCUUCCUUCUAUGAAGUUGAGUGAAUGGCAUCUGUUUGCUGACUGUUGCCAGAAUUGACAGUGACAUCAGAGAAAAGGAUAUGGAGCCAACAUCUCUGUUCACUGGCUUUUCUCCCACCCACUGUCCCUCUUCCAGAGAAGCAGGCCUAUCGUGUCUUCAGAAGACAGAGAAACAUCUCUUAGCCCCACAGGACUGGGCCUAAAGCCCUCUCUGGAAAGACUGACUUCCUAUCAGACAUGUCCCAUGUCCCUUGAGGACGUCUGCUACACAUGCCCCAUGGGAGUACCCAGUUUCUAAUGUUCUCUGUGGGCACAGAGCCUACCUGACACCUGGCCUUUCACCACACCCUAGAAGACCCCAAACCAGAGUGAGACUCAAUCUUCUAGGAAAGAAAUCCCUGAGAGGGGCAGCAGUAGAAGUGGGUGAACCUUCCCCAAGCUGUAUAAAAAGGAGAAGUCAAGCCAAGCACUGUCCUUUGACACUCGUGGCUUCCUGAUUGUGCACGGGAUGUGACUAGGUACUUGUAGCUCCUGCCACCUCGAUGUCUCUGCUAAGAUGGCCACACUCUGAAACUCCAAGUUGGAAUAAACCCCUCCUCCCUUCAGUUGAUUUUGUCAGGGUGUUGUACCAUGGCAACAGGAAAACAAACUAAACAACAGUCUUAAAGCAGAUGCCUUCCUUCCUUUGAGAGACGGCGUCCAGGGAAUCCCUUCUGCUCAAGCCACUCUGCCACUUUCAGAGUUUGUCUGAAAGCACUGGGAGGCACAAGGCCAGACCCGUUUUCUGAAGGAAGCAUUUCUCCCUGCUAAGUCUCUGGAUGAGGGCAGCUGUGUUUCUCCCCAUAACUGCCUCCCCAAGGUGACAGACAUAGUGGGAUGCUGCUUGUGUAUGCAGGUAUGUGUGUAUGUGCAGGUAUGUGUGCAUGCAGUUGUGUGUGUGUGCAUGUAGUUGUGUGUGUGCAAGCACAUAUGGAUGCAGGCAUCUGUGGGCUCACAGGUGUGUAUAUGCAUGUAUAAGAGAGUGUGCACACAGGUGUGUAUGUUCCUGACCUUUCUCCCCCCUGCUUGCCCUCCUUCCAUCACUUCCUAUGUUGCUUCCUCUCUUUCUUAACACAACCGGUAAACAACAAGCAAACAGAGCUGGAACUGAUAGAGAAAUACAGUAAGGUCCCAGAAUGUCCAAAACCAAAAGCUGCAGGGGGCAGCAGUGCAUUAAUGACCGUCCCAAGGAUUCAAAAGCAUCUUGCUCUCCACACCAAGUGUCACUUCCACCCUGUGGGCACAGAGAGGCCUGGCUGUCCUUAAGGCUCCCAAAAGCAGAAAUGAGACUCAGGCUUCCAAGAAGAAUAGCAGUGGCAGAACCCAGAAGCAUCCACGUCCAGUGACUUUGCAGGAAACGAGAGCAAAUCAUCAACGGAAAGGCGUGGCCGCUUUCAAUACGCUAAAUAUAGGACCUUAAGCUAAUGAAACAGUCUUGUGAUUCACCACGGCCCCCAGGGGCUGUUUCAAGCUGGAGUGAGGAUUUAAACUACUGCUGCUCAUGCCUAGAUCAGGCUCUGGAGCUCCUCGGGGAAGGCCUGUGGUCAAGUCGCCUUGAUGAAGCAAGCGCUGGGGUGUGGGGGGUCAAGCAUACACACAGGAGGAGGAAAGACGCAGAGCUCAGGGCCUCUCGCCACCACUGAGGAA